rnacentral:rRNA from 1 species
AUUGAACGCUGGCGGCAUGCCUUACACAUGCAAGUCGAACGGCAGCGGGGACUUCGGUCCGCCGGCGAGUGGCGAACGGGUGAGUAAUGUAUCGGAACGUACCAUUGAGUGGGGGAUAACUAUCCGAAAGGAUAGCUAAUACCGCAUAUUCUCUCCGGAGGAAGGCAGGGGACCGCAAGGCCUUGCGCUCAUUGAGCGGCCGAUAUCAGAUUAGCUAGUUGGUGAGGUAAAGGCUCACCAAGGCGACGAUCUGCAGCGGGUCUGAGAGGAUGAUCCGCCACACUGGAACUGAGACACGGUCCAGACUCCUACGGGAGGCAGCAGUGGGGAAUUUUGGACAAUGGGGGCAACCCUGAUCUAGCCAUGCCGCGUGAGUGAAGAAGGCCUUCGGGUUGUAAAGCUCUUUCGGCCGGGAAAAAAUCGCAUGGGUUAAUACCCUGUGUGGAUGAUGGUACCGGAAUAAGAAGCACCGGCUAACUACGUGCCAGCCGCCGCAGUAAGAC